CACCUUUCCCAUUUUAUAAUUUUUCUUCAGUGAAUAUAGAUGACAUCAUAUAUAUUGUACAUCAUACAUACACAUAAAAACAAAAAUGUAAAGGCUUUAUUUACACUUUAAUAGGGAAGGAGAUAGUAGGAAAGUCAGCAGCUCAGGGGUCACAGCAGGACGGGCUGGGCCUGCCUGUCUGUGCUCUGGGCAGGGGACUCACAGAGCCUUUGCUUCAUGUCUCAGGACCCUGCUCUGUGGGCGGCCAAGCAGCGUCUUUCCCUUCUUUCUGGGGUGUGCUCAUUAAUUCACUUAUUACUGUCUUGUGAGCUUUAAUGCUUUCUAAAUGAUGGUUUUUCCAAGUAAUACGACAUUUCAAGCUAUUUCAGUGGGAGAAGUUGUCCAUACAAUCCAGCCUGCCUGCUUCAGAAAUGGAAAUUUGAAGGCAAAAUAGUUCAGUGAAAAGAUGAUUAGUCCUAAAGGAGAAGAUCAGAACCUGAUCAUUCAUGGUCUGAGAAUGAUCUGUCAGGUGAAAUCAUCCCUCUGAGGGCAUCUUCCUUGUGCUGAGCUGCUCCAGACUGAAGUAUGGAUGACACAGAGAGACCAGCAUUGGGAGCUCCUAGUCAACCAUCACCUGACUUCAACUGGGACCUCAGUAAGAUUGUUGCCUUAACAUCCUUGUCUAGCAGGUUUUCCAUCUGCUUGUUCUCACAGACAUUUCUAUUGAUUGAUUUUUUUUCCCUUUCAGUGGUCAUACUUUCCUGAUUCUUUGUAGGCUGGUGAAUUUUUGAAAACUGGAUAUUUGAACCUUAGGUGGUAACUCUGGAAAUCAGACUCUUCCCUUUCCCAGAGUUUACAGAACUUUGUUGGUUGCUAUUUUUUGCUCUUGU